AGUUCUGUGGUGUAAUGGUUAACACAUUGGGCUUUGAACCCGAAGAUGUAGGUUCAACUCCUGCCGGAACUU
rnacentral:tRNA from 2 species